rnacentral:rRNA from 1 species
UACGAAGGGGGCUAGCGUUGCUCGGAAUGACUGGGCGUAAAGGGCGCGUAGGCGGCUCAUACAGUCAGAUGUGAAAUUCCUGGGCUUAACCUGGGGCUGCAUUUGAUACGUGUGGGCUUGAGUGGGGAAGAGGGUCGUGGAAUUCCCAGUGUAGAGGUGGAAAUUCGUAGAUAUUGGGAAAGAACACCGGUGGCGAAGGCGGCGACCUGGUCCUUGACUGACGC